CCUUCAUGAAGCUGGAAUUGCUAGUAAUGGCAGGUCAGCAUACUGCCGUGAAUACGUUCCCGGGCCUUGUACACACCGCCCGUCACACCAUGAGAGUUGGGAAUACCCGAAGCCUGUGAGCUAACUUAUAGAGGCAGCAGCCGAAGGUAGAAUCAAUGAUUGGGGUGAAGUCGUAACAAGGUAAC
rnacentral:rRNA from 1 species